CAACAUAUUUUGAACAUUCUCCACUGGUCAAUAAAGCAAAAAUUUAUUAUUAAUACUCUCCCAUGUGAAUUUUACAUUUCAUUCUUCACAGAAUCUCUACAUAAUUAUCAAGAAUAAUUGUCAAAUAAAAGAUGAAAAGACUUACAAGUCCUUUGUUUCAGUGAUCAAAUAAAAUAAAACAAAACCAAGUUUGAGGGCAAAAAACAUAAAUAAUGAAAUGCAUAUCAGACUUCCAAAAAGAGAAAAGCCCAAGUACUCAAAUGAGCAUUUAACCGAAAAUAGCAUGCUAUGAUUUUUGCAUGAUGACUCAUGGUUUAGAAUUCAAGCACAUGUUCAAAGGUGACAAAGCCAUAACAUAAGGAUUUAGUGCUUUAAAUGCAGAUUAGAAAA
rnacentral:misc_RNA from 1 species